UCUCCGGUAGCUCAGUCGGUAGAGCGGUGGAAUGUUAUUCCAUGGUCCUAGGUUCAAGUCCGGCUACAGAA